rnacentral:misc_RNA from 1 species
GAUGAAGAACGCAGCGAAAUGCGAUAAGUAGUGUGAAUUGCAGAAUUCAGUGAAUCAUCGAAUCUUUGAACGCACAUUGCGCCCCUUGGUAUCCCGAGGGGCAUGCCGUUCGAGCGUCAUUUCACCACUCAAGCCUGGCUUGGUGUUGGGCGACGUCCUCUUUGGGGACGCGCCUCGAAACGCUCGGCGGCGUGGCACCGGCUUUAAGCGUAGCAGAAUCUUUCGCUUUGGAAGUCGGGGCCCCGUCUGCCGGAAGACCUGCUCGCAAGGUUGACCUCGGAUCAGGCAGGGAUACCCGCUGAACUUAAGCAUAUCAAUAAGCGGAGGA